rnacentral:rRNA from 1 species
AUUGAACGCUGGCGGCAUGCCUUACACAUGCAAGUCGAACGGUAACAGGUCUUCGGCUGCUGCCGAGUGGCGAACGGGUGAGUAAUACAUCGGAACGUGCCCGAUCGUGGGGGAUAACGAGGCGAAAGCUUUGCUAAUACCGCAUACGAUCUACGGAUGACAGCGGGGGAUCUUCGGACCUCGCGCGGACGGAGCGGCCGAUGGCAGAUUAGGUAGUUGGUGGGAUAAAAGCUUACCAAGCCGACGAUCUGUAGCUGGUCUGAGAGGAUGAUCAGCCACACUGGGACUGAGACACGGCCCAGACUCCUACGGGAGGCAGCAGUGGGGAAUUUUGGACAAUGGGCGAAAGCCUGAUCCAGCCAUGCCGCGUGCAGGAUGAAGGCCUUCGGGUUGUAAACUGCUUUUGUACGGAACGAAAAGCCUCUUUCUAAUAAAGAGGGGUCAUGACGGUACCGUAAGAAUAAGCACCGGCUAACUACGUG